GAUGAAGAACGUAGCGAAAUGCGAUAAGUAGUGUGAAUUGCAGAAUUCAGCGAAUCAUCGAAUCUUUGAACGCACAUUGCGCCCUUCGGUUAUUCCUUGGGCAUGCCUGUUCGAGCGUCAUUUCAACCUUCAAGCCUGGCUUGGUGUUGGGCGCUGUCCCGCCUCCGCGCGCGGACUCGCCCCAAAUGAAUUGGCAGUCGCACCCUCCGAGCCGCGAGCGCAGCACAAGUCGCGCGGGCGGAACUCUGGGGGGACGGACGCUCCACAAGACCCUUUCUCAGUCUUGACCUCGGAUCAGGUAGGGAUACCCGCUGAACUUAAGCAUAUCAAUAAGCGGAGGA
rnacentral:misc_RNA from 1 species